rnacentral:misc_RNA from 1 species
UCCGAGUUGACCCCGGCAGUCUCCUUAGAGUCCCCGGCAUUACCCGCUGGCAACUAAGGGUAGGGGUUGCGCUCGUUGCGGCACUUAACCCAACAUCUCACGACACGAGCUGACGACAGCCAUGCACCACCUGUGCACUGGCCCCGAAGGGCUGCCGUGUUUCCACGACAUUCCAGCGCAUGUCAAGCCCUGGUAAGGUUCUUCGCGUCGCGUCGAAUUAAACCACAUGCUCCGCUGCUUGUGCGGGUCCCCGUCAAUUCCUUUGAGUUUUAGCCUUGCGGCCGUACUCCCCAGGCGGGGUACUUAACGCGUUAGCUGCGGCACCGAAGGGGUCGUUCCCCCCAGCACCUAGUGCCCAUCGUUUACGGCGUGGACUAC